GGUUAAUUAGGAAAAUACCCCCCAAUCCUCAAGCAUAUAAAACCCUCUUUAACAGAUCAAUCAACCCUUGCCCUUUUUGAUAUUAACCCUAGCCGCUUUCAUCCAUUCAAACCCAAAGAAGACAAACCCAAGCCGCCAUGUAGCCACCGCAAACGAUGGCCGACGGAAGGUGACAGAUGAGUGUCAGGCGCAUGGAAGGCCGGUGGUUGGUGCCCCGAACGGUGGUGGUGGCGCGCGUGAUGGCCAAGGCUAAGGGGAGUGGCGGCUGAAAACUUGGUGACUAGGGUUUUUUGGCUGUUGAAAAUGUUUAAUUUGUUGGGCUAGGUGGGCUUUAGGUUUUUUAUUGUUUGGGUCAUUUGAUGUGGAAGUUGAGCCUGCUGUUUGGGUUUUGUAAUUGUUUUAUUUGGUUUUGGGCCGGGCAUAAUUUGGGCUAUACAACAAUCUUGAUGACAACCAAUCAAGCCUUGUUUUUUUUUUUUAUGGUAAUUUCUUUUUUUCUGUUCUUUUUUCUCUAA